GACGAACCGUGCGAACGUUGUUCGGAAUCACUGGGCUUAAAGGGCGCGUAGGCGGCUUAUCAAGUCAGGGGUGAAAUUUUGCGGCUUAACCGUAACUAGCCUUUGAUACUGGUAGGCUCGAGGGAGGUAGGGGUAUGUGGAACUGCUGGUGGAGCGGUGAAAUGCGUUGAUAUCAGCAGGAACGCCGGUGGCGAAAGCGACGUACUGGACCUCUUCUGACGCUGAGGCGCGAAAGCUAGGGGAGCAAACGGG
rnacentral:rRNA from 1 species